UAAAAUUAUCAACUUAAAUUGAAUCUUUUAUUUCAGCUGAUCUGAUUUUUUUUUUUUUUUAAAAAAACGAAAAUAACAAGUAUCUUGCUUGUCCCUCAGGCUUCUUAAAAUUAGUGUCUGUUUCAAUUACAUCAAGCCUUUCAUUGAUCAAUAUGGGCACCUCUCUUGCAAGAGCAUCUCUCCCAUCCUUUGUAUCCAGUGAUUUUCUCGAGCAAAAUAUUGUGUCAAGAGAGUAUUUACCUCAUUACGUGUCCCAUCAUACAUAGGAGAAGAUAAAUUUUGUGUUCUGUCAACCUUUUUCUUAUUUAUUA
rnacentral:lncRNA from 1 species